rnacentral:rRNA from 3 species
UACGGAGGGUGCAAGCGUUAUCCGGAUUCACUGGGUUUAAAGGGUGCGUAGGCGGGUAUGUAAGUCAGUGGUGAAAUACCGGAGCUUAACUUCGGAACUGCCAUUGAUACUAUAUAUCUUGAAUAUUGUGGAGGUAAGCGGAAUAUGUCAUGUAGCGGUGAAAUGCUUAGAGAUGACAUAGAACACCGAUUGCGAAGGCAGCUUGCUACGCAAAUAUUGACGCUGAGGCACGAAAGCGUGGGGAUCAAACAGG